AUUUCACGUCCUACUUCGUCCAACAAACAUGGUUAAAAAUAUUAAUAAUAUGUUAUCUAUAUUUUUUAUGUUAAUUUGUAUAGGUGGUAUAUACGCUGGACGUCAAUCAACCUAUUAUUAAAAUCAUCAUGACAAAAUUGGUUUUGCAUACAUUUGGAAGCGGGCUUGAUGUCCACUUCAAAGCCAACUAUUUUAAAACCUCAUCAUUGUUAGUUAUUUUUGACUAACUAUUAACUAUUCUGUAUCAAGGUAAAGAAGAUUGCUUCAGUAAGUAUUAUUAUAUUUUACCUUACAACAUAUAUAAAUUCCCAUUUUUUCUUAAUUUUUCUUUUGUUUUUCACGGCGCUUUUGAAAACUACUGGGAAAUUUUUACUUUCUACCCCCAAAGUACCAACUAGAAUCAUUUUCCUAUUGGAAAAGACACCUAACCUAUGUUGAAGAAAAUCCAAGCAUUUUUCUGUCCUAAAAGGUGGCAACAGACACGAAAAAAAAAUAAUAAAAAAAAAAACCACACAUCAUUGUCAAAUCAAUACAUCCAUCGCUCCGCUCAGAAUCUAAAAUAUUGUAAAUAUUCAUUAUUAUUUGUUACAUCAUAUUAUUAUUACAGCUCAAAUGAUAGCUGCUAAUUUAAUAAGUGAGCAAAACGGAACUUAUGAGGAAGACAAAACUACUGUCUUGAACCAGGUUAAAAUUUGGGGUAAGUAUACAUUCAUUAUUUAUACAAUUAUUAUCUGUGGUUUUUAUCAGUACCUACUACCUAGUCUGUUAACCGUCGAGUAAUGAAUAACAAUGGUAUAGUGUGUUUAUUGAGUCCUUUAUUUCGGAUACUCAAUAUAAUAAUAAAAUGUGAAACGCUCCCGUUGCAUUUUACAUGUCGCUGUAGUAAGGUUAGUAGCGAGGUGGAAUCCCAAAGUAUCGUUAAUAACAAGGUUUACCUAUUGAUACAUUAUCAUUCUGCUAAGUAGGUAUACGUACUGGCGACUAGCUUUCCACGUAUCAUAAUUAUUGUCGUAGUGGACUGCAAGAGAUCCAGAUGAUGUUGUUUUUAAAUAAAUAGUUGAACAUAAUUUUUAACAGUGAAUAAAUUUAUAGUGAAAAAAAUUAAUAAAAGAGACAGUUCCGGAGUGGACUAUUUUUAAAAACGUGACAAUAAAAAUAAAAAUUAUCGGACCCAUAUUACAAUAAAAAUUAAAUAAUAAUAUUAUAUAUUGUAUUUAUCGUAUUAGGUAAGAAAGUGCAACAGAUAAUACAAAAGAAAUACGUAUAACAUAUAACUAGCACUUCGUUGUGCGUAAAAAUUGACAAUUCUUAAAAUAAUAAGACUGUUGUCCCUGGAAUUUCUACCUGAAAUCAUACUGCGUGUCUCACCGGUAAUUAUAAAUUCAAGAUGAUCGAUGAAAAUUUUUAAGUUUUGAACAUCAUACACCGAAUAUUAAAUAAACGAAUUGAAUAAAGUUGAAUUGAAAAUACUGAUGAAAAUACGCGUGGUCACAGGAAAAGAAAUAACAGCGGAACACACUGCGUUUCACACUGCACUUACUGCAACGAGUUACGCCCAAAAGGAGUUGUACAAUCACAAUUUUUUUAAGAGUUGUCAUUUUUUACGGACCACGAUUCUUGAAGUGCGCGGGAUUAGCUAGUUAUACGUAUAAAGCAAUAGAUUCUUCGGGACUCGUAGGGUGUUUAUAGCUUAUUUUUCCGAUCCCUAUUAUAAUAGCUAAGGGGUAAGCGUAGCUAACACAUGAUUUUUUCAGCUCACGAGAAAAUAAUAUUUUUUUUUAGUCUAAUUAAAUGGUUACCAUUGUAAUGAUAUGCUCACAUACCAUUAUAAUAAAUAAACUAAAAUCUUACAGAGUAAUAAAUAACGGCCAGACUGUCGUUUGUAGAAAUCGGACAUCAUCCCUAAUGAAACCGUUGUCAUGUAUGCCGCCGGUACGUGCCGAUUUCUUAAUUAUUAUAAUGGUAUGUGAGCAUAAUAUCAUUACACCAUUACGUAUUAUUAUGUGAUAACAAUAUAUUAAAUUACUAUUAUAAUCAAACUAUUUUCAAGAUAAGAACGCACCCCGCUCGGGCAUCCAAACGAUGGCUGGUGAAACCUUAUCUUGAAAAUAAUAUAGUAGAAAUAUGACAUAAACAUAAUAUAUAUUAUAUAUAUAAAAAAAAACCUUAGACGCCAAUUAUAUUAUAUUUUAUUGAAACUGUAUUACUUGUAUUGCUUAUUAUAGUUCAAAACUAUAGCUACCGUGGCAGUGCUGAGCAUGUGCUGGGAUACAUAAACCACUGUACAAUUAGUAAGAAUUAUUAAACUAAUCACACCACAUACAUAUUAUGACAUAAUAAUAUUAUAAUAUUUUAUAAUUGAUUAAACAUUAAAAUACACUCUAAAUAAAUACCAAAAAUUGGUUCUAUAAUUAUAUUUAAGCAAAAAAAUUAAAAUUAAUUUAAGUCAAACUGUUUUUAUUUUUUAGAUGGGUAUGAUACGAUGCCAAUACGAUAUUGUAAUCGUUUACUAGGUUAAUAUAUAAAAAAUAUUUAUUUUUUAUUGUAUACUUUUAUGUACUCUUAAUAAUUAAUGAUGGUUAAAUGUAAGAAAAUUCGUAGUUUAUUAAAUAAGACAAUUUUAUAUUGUGAUGAUUUAUAUAAUAUAUUAUAUAUUUAUUACUUAUCUAUAAGAUAACUCUUAUUAGAUAUUCUAAUAACAUCAAUUUAUUUGAUAAAGCAACAUUAUUUUUCUAUAAUAUUAUAUUAAGAAUUAAUAAAGUCUCACCACCAUCCUUAUAAUGUAAACCUGGUUUUUUUAAAAUAAUUUGUGCACAUUACAUUACUUUAAAUUUCAUAAUAAAAUUGAUGAAUUCUUAAAAAUACAUUUUAUGAAGUUUAUUUAAUUUACAUUUUACCAGUUAAUUUUGUAUAAAAACACCUAUAGGUUAGGAGUGUGGUACUUGGAAAAAAAAUUGGAACAUUGAAAAAAAUUAGUCAAAAAUUUAAAAUUCCCCACGCCUAAUUGUGACUUCAAUGGAAGACCUCUUCACCCACACAUAAUCAACCCGAAACUCAUCGUACAUUCGUACAGCACUAGUCAAAAAGAUUGUGCACUAAUAAUUAAAAUUUUUAAAAAAAAGGUGGGUAAGUGGUUGUCGCUCUGCUGUAUAGUAGAUUACAAGUGGAUCACUGUAAUGGAUGGUGUUAAAUUUGAAUUCAAUGAUAUAAUAUAAAGUAUUAUAAGUAUAAGAAAAACAAUUCUGAGCGAAAACGGUCAGUCAGCUAUGAUAUUACUAAGUAUAUUUGAUGAUAUUAUUGUGAAUAAAGUCAUUUAUAUAUUUACCUAUUUACGAGGAACCAUUUUUUUAAUUUUCAAUCCUUAGCUGUAAAAGUUGAACAUUUUGUAAAUUUUUAACUACAAAAUAAUUAAUAAAUUUUAAAUUUGAUAAAUGUUGUCAAAAUUUGAACUUUAAAUGCUUAUAAAAAAAAAUUGUGCAUAUAUAUUUUUAAUAUGUUUUAACGACUAUUGUAAUAGU